UGAGAAGUAUGAGAGGGUCAGUGGAUGGAAAAUUACAUCAAGGAUAAGGAGAUCCUGGCUAAACUGACUUAGCAGGGUUCUUGCUGAAAGUGGCUGGUGGUCCAAGGAUGAGGCCUAUUUGAAAAGAAACCUCAGAGGCACCGUCUGAAGUUUGGUCGGGGAGAGUCUUUGUCAAUAUCUAAAUAAGAAUGAACACGUGUGAAAGAUGUUAUUUAACUCAGGAGGGAACUGGCAGAUGGUACAGCUAGUUUAAAAGAAAAUCUAAAGAACAGACAUUUACAGAUCAAGAGUACAGAAUUGAAUAUGAAAAUGGAGGCGAAAACUGUUUGCUUGUUUGUUUUGUGUGAUGUGGGGAAUAGGGGGUUAAUUGAACCUGAUAUUGGGACAAAAUUUGCACGUCGGAUCAGUUACCUACCGAGUUGUAAAAUAGUUCCCAUGGAAACAGAAUCUCGUAAGGCAGCAGCAGGAUCGUCACUUCUGGGAAGUGUUCCCCGAGUCUCUACGUGAGAAUGGGUUGCAAUUUCUGGGCAAUCGUGUUUAUCACACUAUAUUGUUUAUAUCCUUCCCUUCCUCCCAUACACGCUCAUGAACUUUUUGAGGCAGACAUCGUGACUUAUUCCAAGUUUCCUGGCUCUGAACAGCAGCUUCUUAGGAACAUAACAUGCUAAGAGGGUAGUGGAAGCCGCAAGAUAAACAUAUUGGGUCGCGGGACACCCUGGGGAUACAAAAAUGCGCCUGAGCAGUCGCAACGAGAUACCCUGAGCAAGAAACAAUUGUGAGACUAAGUGGCACUAAGUGGCAGGGGCACCACGGACACGCCGGGAAGGGGCUGGCCCGCCGUAACAGGUCUUGGGGCGCGCCAGAAA